UUGUAUUUUAGAAAUGAGAAGCAUACCAGUCCUUGUGAAGCACUCUGGUCGAUGGACGUACGAAAAGAACUUCGAAGAAUAUGUCACUGAUGCUAUACUGUUGAGUACAUCAGCCACAUUCGUUGAGCUGCACGAUGUUUUGGCAUCUCACUUAAGUGUGAAUUUAACCAUCAAACGUAUUCUAGUGGAAUAUCAAAUCACUCCUA
rnacentral:lncRNA from 1 species